rnacentral:rRNA from 1 species
AAUGAACGUUGGCGGCGUGGAUUAGGCAUGCAAGUCGUACGGUGGUUUCCUUUCGGGGAGGCCAUAGUGGCGAAAGGGAGAGGAAUACGCGGGUACCUACCCUCGGACCUGGGAUAGCUACGGGAAACUGUAGGUAAUACCAGAUAAUGUCUCCGGACCAAAGGUGUGAUUCCGUCCGGGGAAGGGCCCACGUCCUAUUAGCUAGUUGGCGAGGUAACGGCUCACCAAGGCGAAGAUGGGUAUGGGAUGUGAGAGCAUGAUCCCACUCACUGGGACUGAGACACUGCCCAGACACCUACGGGUGGCUGCAGUCGAGAAUCUUCGGCAAUGGGGGCAACCCUGACCGAGCGACGCCGCGUGCGAGAUGAAGGCCUUCGGGUUGUAAAUCGCUGUCAGUGGGGAGGAAAUGCUGAUGGGUUCUCCCAUCAGUUUGACCUAUCCGCAGAGGAAGGACGGGCUAAGUUCGUGCCAGCCGCCGCCGUAA